rnacentral:rRNA from 1 species
AACGUAGGAGGCUAGCGUUAUCCGGAUUUACUGGGCGUAAAGCGCGCGUAGGUGGCUCCGUAAGUCGGGCGUGAAAUCUCCCGGCUCAACUGGGAGUGGUCGUCCGAUACUGCGGAGCUUGAGGGCAGGAGAGGGAGGUGGAAUUCCCGGUGUAGUGGUAAAAUGCGUAGAUAUCGGGAGGAACACCAGUGGCGAAGGCGGCCUCCUGGCCUGCCCCUGACGCUGAGGCGCGAAAGCGUGGUGAGCGAACGGG